GCGCUCGUAGCUCAGCUGGAUAGAGCACCAGGUUGCGGACCUGGGUGUCGGGGGUUCAAAUCCCUCCGAGCGCG
rnacentral:tRNA from 1 species